rnacentral:rRNA from 1 species
GACGAACGCUGGCGGCGUGCUUAACACAUGCAAGUCGAACGGAAAGGCCCUGCUUUUGUGGGGUGCUCGAGUGGCGAACGGGUGAGUAGCACGUGAGUAACCUGCCCUUGACUUUGGGAAAACUUCAGGAAACUGGGGCUAAUACCGGAUAGGAGCUCCUGCUGCAUGGUGGGGGUUGGAAAGUUUCGGCGGUUGGGGAUGGACUCGCGGCUUAUCAGCUUGUUGGUGGGGUAGUGGCUUACCAAGGCUUUGACGGGUAGCCGGCCUGAGAGGGUGACCGGCCACAUUGGGACUGAGAUACGGCCCAGACUCCUACGGGAGGCAGCAGUGGGGAAUAUUGCACAAUGGGCGGAAGCCUGAUGCAGCAACGCCGCGUGCGGGAUGACGGCCUUCGGGUUGUAAACCGCUUUCGCCUGUGACGAAGCGUGAGUGACGGUAAUGGGUAAAGAAGCACCGGCUAACUACGUG